UCCCGUGUAGCUCAGUUGGUAGAGCAUGGUGUUUGCAACGCCAGGGUUGUGGGUUCGAUUCCCACGUGGGGG
rnacentral:tRNA from 1 species